GUCGACGAUUCACGUGUAGCAGUGAAAUGCAUAGAUAUUACUCAGAAUACCGAUUGCGAAGGCAGAUCACUAACAAUACACUGACGCUGAUGGACGAAAGCGUAGGUAGCGAACAGGAUUAGAUACCCUGGUAGUCUACGCCGUAAACGAUGGUUACUAGCUGUUCGGGUUAGUUGAGACCUGAGUGGCUAAGCGAAAGUGAUAAGUAACCCACCUGGGGAGUACGUUCGCAAGAAUGAAACUCAAAGGAAUUGACGGGGGCCCGCACAAGCGGUGGAGCAUGUGGUUUAAUCCGAUGAUACGCGAGGAACCUUACCAGGGCUUAAAUGCAGUUUGACAGGGGUGGAAACACCUUUUCCUUCGGGCAAAUUGCAAGGUGCUGCAUGGCUGUCGUCAGCU
rnacentral:rRNA from 1 species